rnacentral:rRNA from 1 species
AAAAGCUCGUAGUUGGAUGUCUGCUCUGGACGUAGGGGGCCGCUCGCGCGGUCCGCCAUGCGCACCCGGCAUUCUGCUCGCCACUCGGGGGUCGGUUUUCACCGGUCGGCCCUCGGUGGUCGGCGGUUAUCGCUUUGCAAAAAUUAGAGUGCUUCAAGCGGGCUCACCCAGGCUCGAAUAGUAAUGCACGGUACGAUGGAACAUGACUUCGGAUCUAGGUCCUCGGGGAUAGACGGAGACCGAGGUGAUGAUUAAUAGGAGCAGACGGGGGCAUUCGUAUUCCGACGCUAGAGGUGAAAUUCUUGGACCGUCGGAAGACGACCCACUGCGAAAGCAUUUGCCAAGAAUGUUUCCCUUAACCAAGAACGAAAGUCAGAGGCUCAAAGAAGAUUAGAUACCUUUGUAGUUCUGACCCUAAACGAUGCCAGCCAGCGAUCCGGCUGCGUACGGUUGUGACGCGCCGGGCAGCUCGUCCGGGAAACCUGAGUUCAGGCUCCGGGGGAAGUAUGGUUGCAAAGCUGAAACUUAAAGGAAUUGACGGAGGGGCACUACCAGGAGUGGAGCCUACGGCUUAAUUCGACUCAACACGGGAAAACUCACCCGGCCCGGACGUUUUAGUACGAAUUACAAAUUGAUAGCUCUUUAGGGAAUAUGUGGAUGGUGGUGCAUGGCCGCAGUUGGUUCGUGGGGUGACCUGUCUGGUUGAUUCCGAUAAACGAACGAGAUUCCCGUUGGCUAAAUACGACUCUCCCCCGUUCGAUGGGGGUUGCAAGUCUUCUUAGAAGGACCGGCGGCUUCGAAGCCGUACGAGAGAGAGCGAUUGCAGGUCUGUGAUGCCCUAAGAUGUCCGGGGCCGCACGUGCGCUACAGUAGAGCGGCUAACGUGCCGAAGUUUCCUUGGCCUGUCGGCCUCGGGAACCAUUUCAGUCCCUCUCAGUGCUGGGGAUAGGGGAUUGUAACUUCCCCUCCAACGAGGAAUUCCCAGUAGGCGCGGGUCAUUAACUCGUGCCGACUAAGUCACUGCCCUUUGUACACACCGCCCGUCGCUGUCUCCGAUUGAACGGUGGAGUGAGGUCUUCGGACCUGCUUAUCCGUCGGCCUCUUGUGGGUCGAGUGGACUAGCGGGGAAUUUGCCCGAACUUGGCCGCUUAGAGGAGGCAAAAGUCGUAACAAGGUUUC